GGUCAGAUCCAAUAAGACAAAGCAAAGUUUGCAGCUUUUUUUGUUUCUUUGGGGAAACAAUUCAAUCAUUUUGAAAUUAAAUUUUUGUAGAACAUAGGUUGAACUUAGGUCUCGGCAGCAAUUUAAACCUAUUUAUAUUUUAAAUAAUAAAAGUAUUCUUUUGGAUUCCCUAUUUAAACUAUAAAUCAUGCUGCUAUAAAGACACAUGCACACGUAUGUUUAUUGAGGCACUAUUCACAAUAGCAAAGACUUGGAACCAACCCACAAGUUUUCAGGUCAUUUAUUUUAAGGAGGAAAAAUACAGUUUGCUAUUUUAAAAUGCAAAUACUUUAACAAGAUUUUGAUUGUUGGUGUAGUGAAUUUAAGAGUUGUUCAGGGAAGUGGAAGUGUUAAAGGAGGACAUUUUUCCUUAAGAUAAGGGUGGUGUAAGUAAGUCCAAGUAGUAAUCAAUAUGCAAAUUUUGACUAGUUUAUUACAAUAGUAAUUGUUCUUUACAAUAAAAUACUUAAAAUCUAUGUAAAGUAGAUUGCUAGUGAGAAUUGAUAAAACCUAGUAACGCCUUCUGUAGCUUCCUUUGUUAAUAAUAUACAGUGGCUCAUGGGUGUAAUCUCAGCACUUUGGGAGGCCGGGGCAGGUGGAUCACUUGAGGUCAGGAGUUCAAGACCCAGCCUGGCCAACGUGGUGAAACCCGCAUCUCUACUUAAAAUACAAAAACUAGCGGAGUGUGGUGGUACAUGCCUGUAGUUCCAGAUACUUGGGAGGCCAAAGCUGGAGAAUUGCUUGAACCCAGGAGGCAGAGGUUGCAGUGAGCCAAGAUCACCCCACUGCAUUCCAGCCUGAGUGAGACUCCCUCUCAAAAAAAAAAAAAAAAAAAAAAAGAAUGCCAUGUAUUGUUUUGAUCAUAUAUACAAGUGUCUUGGACUUUUCUUUCCCUGCCAAUAAAGAGUGGGUUCUGACUGUCUUUUUGAGAAAAUACUCCAGUAUCGUCAGUCUACCUUACUUGGCUUUAGUUAUUCACUGCUCUUAAAGACUAAAUGAUUGGCUCCACUGAGGCGUAAAGCAUGUUAUUCCACCAUCUGGCCUCAGACAUAAUCAUAUAUUUUUCCUUUGCUUCUUUUCUAGUGGGCUUAAAAACCAGGUCAUUCCCUUGUAAUUCUAAUUUUUCUGUUUUUAUGAUCAUUAAUUUCACAGACUUGUUCCUUUUUGCCUUUUCCACCAGUUUGCUUCAGUGUCCCCAACAGUUCCUGAAUUCUUGAAAACUCCUCCAACUGCAGAUCAGCCUCCCCCACGGCCUGCAGCUCCUGUCCUCCCCACAAACACUGUGUCCUCAGCAAAGCCUGGCCCAGCACUGGUGAAGGUGGGUACUUUGGAUACACCCUGGGUUUGGUGGCUUUAUUUGUGACUCUGUCUAUAACCCUGUGAAUGGAAGACAAAGGCAUUUAUCCAACUUGCUCAGCCUGCCU
rnacentral:lncRNA from 1 species